GACGUAGGGCGCGAGCGUUGUCCGGAUUUAUUGGGCGUAAAGAGCUCGUAGGCGGCUUGUCGCGUCGACUGUGAAAUCCCGCGGCUCAACCGCGGGUCUGCAGUCGAUACGGGCAGGCUAGAGUUCGGUAGGGGAGACUGGAAUUCCUGGUGUAGCGGUGAAAUGCGCAGAGUAUCAGGAGGAACACCGAGUGGCGAAGGCAGGUCUCUGGGCCGAUACUGACGCUGAGGAGCGAAAGGCGUGGGGAGCGAACAGG
rnacentral:rRNA from 1 species